UACGUAGGGGCAAGCGUUAUCCGGAUUUACUGGGUGUAAAGGGAGCGUAGACGGCAAUGCAAGUCUGAUGUGAAAACCCGGGGCUCAACCGCGGGAUUGCAUUGGAAACUGUAUAGCUCGAGUACUGGAGGGGCAGGCGGAAUUCCUAGUGUAGCGGUGAAAUGCGUAGAUAUUAGGAGGAACACCGGUGGCGAAGGCGGCUUUCUGGACAGUAACUGACGCUGAGGCGCGAAAGCGUGGGGAGCAAACAGGAUUAGAUACCCCUGUAGUCCCUGA
rnacentral:rRNA from 1 species